CGACUCCGUAGCCCUGGAUCAACGCGCUGUUUGUCAGAGCGGCAUCUUAGAGUCGGCACCGCCAUAAAUCCCUGGAGGAGAAGACCAGCCCAGGGCUCCCGUGUGUGGACACAGGAGGAGCCGGCUGCCCGCGGCUCAGGUGGGUGCCUCCCGUCCCUGACCUGGGAGUGCUUUCCUCCUGAUUCCCUGUCCUCUCCACCAAUGUCUGGUGUCCAGGGUGGUGGGAAGCUACCGACCCUGAAACAUGCUGUCCCCGAGACGCUCACCCAGCCCUGUUCCCCAGCCAGGGGCCACGGGAACGGAAAGAGUGGGCGCCUGGGCCUUCUCCCCACAACCCAGACCCAGAGCACCCGGUCCUGAGGCACAGCUGGGGAAGCCGAGGAGCAGCCCGCUACCAGGCAGGAGAGGGCCUGGGACCUGCGGGCAGUCGAGGACCAGGAACAAUCGCUGUCACAGCUCACGUCAACAGACCGUGACAAGGGGCUCCUGUCCAGGCGGCUCCAGUGGCUCUGAACAGGAUUCCAGAUGAGGAGACAAUGUCCCAUUCCACUGGAUCACUAACCAGGGAGCAGAGCUCCAGGCUCCUCGCAUAUGUGCUCCACAGUGGGCGAGAGAACUGCAGUUCAGGACCUCUCCUGGACCGGCUGUGUUUGCAGGAGUCCGCCUCGCCCCAUGGCUGUGUCAGGAAAGACGUGGAGGCCAAUUUGUCUUUGUUGGACUGGAGGCGUUGAUUUGUUCCUGACACCAUGGUGGACGGACAGGGCAUCUGGGAUCCCUUCGUUUUCCCUGUGUCCGGGACCCUGGUGAGUUUUCAGACAGGAAUCGAUACAGAGAGACGGGCUGACCCCACACGAGCUGCACUUCGUGCCAGAAGAACCACCAGAGGCCGGGACUCGCGUCCACGAGGAACCUGCAGUGCCCACGGGGACAGGCCUGUGGGCUGGGGGCUCCCUGGCCCUGGGAGCUGGGGCCUCCGCCUUGUGCUGUGCUCUCUGCUUGGCUUUGUGUCAGGACAAUCAGACUCACCUCUGUCCACUGCAGUGGCUGGGCGAGGCCUGCGCCAAGACCGUCUCUGGAAGCAGGGGUAGGACCUCUCUCUCCCUGGCCCACCUGCCUCCUAAAAUAAACACAGAGUUUUGCUUA